GCAGUAGCCGCGGGAAUACGUAGGGUGCAAGCGUUAAUCGGAAUUACUGGGCGUAAAGCGUGCGCAGGCGGUUAUAUAAGACAGAUGUGAAAUCCCCGGGCUCAACCUGGGACCUGCAUUUGUGACUGUGUAGCUAGAGUACGGUAGAGGGGGAUGGAAUUCCGCGUGUAGCAGUGAAAUGCGUAGAUAUGCGGAGGAACACCGAUGGCGAAGGCAAUCCCCUGGACCUGUACUGACGCUCAUGCACGAAAGCGUGGGGAGCAAACAGGAUUAGAUACCCGGGUAGUCCCUGUCUCUUAUAC
rnacentral:rRNA from 1 species